rnacentral:lncRNA from 1 species
ACAAAUAGGUGUAUCUGACUACUUUGCAUUAUGUACCUAAAACUGUGUUUUCAUUUCAUUUUGCUUUAAUUUAAAUUUUAAUUGUUUUAUUAUUGUGAAAGGCUUAACAAUUUAGUUAUUCAUAACUUACUCUGUUUAAUGUGUAUCUCUUCUUAAAAUAAUUUGCAUAAUUGAAGAUCAUACAAUUGGUUUUAAGAAAUCAAUAGAUUACUAAGGGAAUAACAGUACUUAAUAAAUGAAUAAUUUCUUCCAAUGAGAAUAUACUUAUGAUAUAAUACUUUUGCUAUUACUCUGUUUUUUGUUUGAGUUUUUAUGCAUCUGUAGGUUGGAAAGUCUGAUCAUAUAUCCAGUACUGAGGAAGCCAGGUACAAAUGAAAGAAGAUACCUUCAUGAUUGCUGAACAACAAUGCUCACCCUCAGUAUUUAGAGGAUACAAGUUCUUCAAGUUAAGUUUUCCUCUGUGCAGCUGUGUCUUCAUCUAGGAAAAAUCACAUUAACCAUUGGUGUGAAAGGCUGAAAAUCUCUUUGAUGCUCUUGACUAAGGAUUAAAAGCCAGGGCCAUGUCUGACAACUUGACUUUGUUACUUCACAGUAGAAUGUGUCUGAGACUGUUUUUUGAUAUCAUCUUUACAUUGGAGUUGGUUGGUUAAAGGACAAGCAUUGCCCAGACGUUGAUGGAGCCAGAGGACCUAUCCUGGACAUCAUGUGCAGAGAAGAUGGAUCCUGGCAGCUGCUGGAGCCAGGAGGACCAGCCAUGAAGUGGAGAUAGAUGCAGUCACCUGAUGGAGCCAGGAGGAUCAGUCAUGAAAUGGAGAUGGAUGCAGUCAGCUGAUGGAGCCAAGAGGACCAGUGAUGCAGAGAAGAUUGAUCCAAGGAGCCAAUGGAAUCUGGAGGACCUAUGUGUCAAGGAGGCAGAUAAGAAGUAUCCCAGACAGACUCCCUCUAUUGACUUAGAUCUCCAACAUGUCCUCCCACCUGUGGAUGAGAUUCAUUACACUAAG